rnacentral:rRNA from 1 species
GACGAACGCUGGCGGCGUGCUUAACACAUGCAAGUCGAACGGAAAGGCCCUGCUUUUGUGGGGUGCUCGAGUGGCGAACGGGUGAGUAACACGUGAGUAACCUGCCCUUGACUUUGGGAUAACUUCAGGAAACUGGGGCUAAUACCGGAUAGGAGCUCCUGCUGCAUGGUGGGGGUUGGAAAGUUUCGGCGGUUGGGGAUGGACUCGCGGCUUAUCAGCUUGUUGGUGGGGUAGUGGCUUACCAAGGCUUUGACGGGUAGCCGGCCUGAGAGGGUGACCGGCCACAUUGGGACUGAGAUGCGGCCAAGACUCCUACGGGAGGCAGGAGUGGGGAAUAUAGCACAAUGGGCGGAAGCCUGAAGCAGCAACGCCGCGUGCGGGAGGACGGCCUUCGGGUUGUAAACCGCUUUCGUCUGUGACGAAGCGUGAGUGACGGUAAUGGGGAAAGAAGCACCGGUAAACUACGU